rnacentral:rRNA from 1 species
UACCAGCACCCCGAGUGGUCGGGACGUUUAUUGGGCCUAAAGCAUCCGUAGCCGGUUCUACAAGUCUUCCGUUAAAUCCACCUGCUUAACAGAUGGGCUGCGGAAGAUACUAUGGAGCUAGGAGGCGGGAGAGGCAAGCGGUACUCGAUGGGUAGGGGUAAAAUCCUUGAUCCAUUGAAGACCACCAGUGGCGAAGGCGGCUUGCCCAGAACGCGC